rnacentral:lncRNA from 1 species
GAGAAGCCAGGAAGAGUCUGAACUCAGGGUCUCUGAACUGGACAAACAGACACGAGGCCUGCAGGAGGCUGUGAGACAGAGGCAACAGGCUGAACAGGAGGUGCAAGAGAGCUAUGCACUCUUGCAGGGAGAAAAGGAUCAGCUUCAGGAGCAGGUGGCUACUUUGCAGACCACUGCACAUCGGCUGCAGGGAGAGAAAGCUGAGCUGGAGAGGACACUGCUCCGUCUGGAAAAAGACAGGUCCUCUCUAAAGCGUACCCUGGAGAAGGUAGAAAAGAAUCGCCAAAGGAAGGUGGUGGAGGUACUGCAUGCUGAGCGUGAGAGAGAACAGCAAGAACAAAAGAUCCGAAAUCUAGAGCAAGAUUUAAGUGAGACACAGACCGAAAUUCACACACUACAGGUGAUAGAGAUACAUACGAAUAUUAUGAAUUUUAUAAUACAUGGAUCA